rnacentral:rRNA from 1 species
UACGUAGGGUGCAAGCGUUACUCGGAAUUACUGGGCGUAAAGCGUGCGCAGGCGGUUCUAUAAGGCAGAUGUGAAAUCCCCGGGCUCAACCUGGGAACUGCAUUUGUGACUGUAGAGCUGGAGUACGGCAGAGGGGGAUGGAAUUCCGCGUGUAGCAGUGAAAUGCGUAGAUAUGCGGAGGAACACCGAUGGCGAAGGCAAUCCCCUGGGCCUGUACUGACGCUCAUGCACGAAAGCGUGGGGAGCAAACAGG